AAAUAGAACUUUGCAGAGAGAGUUAACAGGGCGUGAAACCGUUAAUUGGCAAACGAAUCGGAGCCACGAAGUCGUUUCGUUGUUUAGCCGCGGACUAGGUUCAGCCCGGGAUGACAACAUCCCGGGUGUACUCCCGUGUCUGGCCAAACUUUGUAAGCGUACACUGCAACCAGUUAGACGAUUGGCUAUGGAACUAGUCGCUCAUGUUACCCAAGUUAGUAGUAGUGCUGUACGUUCCUCGAGUUCGUAUUGGUGUUGCUGGACUUGUUUGGUAAGUGAACUAUAGCCAAAUACUGACUGGCAAAAUGAAAAUUGCCUUCAAUGUGCAUAAAAUAAAACGCUACCAGCAAUACAGUUGCCUACAUACUCAGCUGCUGGGUCUUCUAAGCUCAGCAUCUUUAAAUUCAGACCUGCUUGCUACCAGUGGGGCAACCCCUGGUGCUUGUAUGGCCUCUGUCUAAUUGGGUGCUGACUUGGCCAAGUAUGUCUGCGGUAUGCUACGAUGGGGUAGCAGUAUUAGUUGGUUAGCUAGAAUUGGCAGUGAGUCCCGUCUUGAAACACGGACCAAGGAGUCUAAUUAGGCAUCGAGUCGAUCGGUCUUGAAUAGGCCAGACUUGAUGGGCCGGCCCAUCUGAAGGCGCAGAGACAUGUGAUCGGGCGGACAAUUUCAGUUCCCAUGCGCAACAUGUGCCUGUUCGUAUAGCAAUGUUAACAAAUUGCUGGCGGAGUUUAGAGAUGCCUGAUUGGGACCCGAAAGAUGGUGAGCUUGGGCAAAUUGAAGCCAGAGGAAACUCUGGUGGAGGAUUGUAGCGAUUCUGACGUGCAAAUCGAUCGUCAGACCUGAGUAUAGGGGCGAAAGACUAAUCGAACCAUC
rnacentral:rRNA from 1 species